GAGUUUGAUCCUGGCUCAGAUUGAACGCUGGCGGCAGGCCUAACACAUGCAAGUCGAGCGGAUGACGGGAGCUUGCUCCUUGAUUCAGCGGCGGACGGGUGAGUAAUGCCUAGGAAUCUGCCUGGUAGUGGGGGGACAACGUUUCGAAAGGAACGCUAAUACCGCAUACGUCCUACGGGAGAAAGCAGGGGACCUUCGGGCCUUGCGCUAUCAGAUGAGCCUAGGUCGGAUUAGCUAGUUGGUGGGGUAAUGGCUCACCAAGGCGACGAUCCGUAACUGGUCUGAGAGGAUGAUCAGUCACACUGGAACUGAGACACGGUCCAGACUCCUACGGGAGGCAGCAGUGGGGAAUAUUGGACAAUGGGCGAAAGCCUAAUCCAGCCAUGCCGCGUGUGUGAAGAAGGUCUUCGGAUUGUAAAGCACUUUAAGUUGGGAGGAAGGGCAGUAAGUUAAUACCUUGCUGUUUUGACGUUACCGACAGAAUAAGCACCGGCUAACUCUGUG
rnacentral:rRNA from 1 species